CCUACGGGAGGCAGCAGUGAGGAAUAUUGGUCAAUGGGCGAGAGCCUGAACCAGCCAAGUCGCGUGAGGGAGUACUGCCCUAUGGGUUGUAAACCUCUUUUGUCGGGGAGCAAAAGCCGGACGUGUCCGGCUGUGAGAGUACCCGAAGAAAAAGCAUCGGCUAACCCCGGGCCAUCAGCCGCGGUAAUACGGGGGAUGCGAGCGUUAGCCGGAUUUAUUGGGUUUAAAGGGUGGGCAGGCGGAUCUUUAAGUCAGCGGGAAAAUCGUGGGGCUCAACCCCAUCCAGCCGUUGAAACUGGGGAUCUAGAGUGUGCGAGAGGUAUGCGGAAUGCGUGGUGUAGCGGUGAAAUGCAUAGAUAUCACGCAGAACCCCGAUUGCGAAGGCAGCAUACCGGUGCACAACUGACGCUCAGGCACGAAAGCGUGGGUAUCGAACAGGAUUAGAUACCCUAGUAGUC
rnacentral:rRNA from 1 species